rnacentral:rRNA from 1 species
UACGUAGGGACCAAGCGUUGUUCGGAUUUACUGGGCGUAAAGGGCGCGUAGGCGGCGCAACAAGUCACUUGUGAAAUCUCCGGGCUUAACCCGGAGCGGCCAAGUGAUACUGUCGUGCUAGAGUGCGGAAGGGGCUACUGGAAUUCUCGGUGUAGCGGUGAAAUGCGUAGAUAUCGAGAGGAACACCUGCGGCGAAGGCGGGUUGCUGGGCCGACACUGACGCUGAUGCGCGAAAGCCAGGGGAGCGAACGGG